CAGAAUUUCCGUUUUAAUGAUGUAAAAUAAUACUAGGGUUACAGAGAAGAUUAGCAUGGCCCCUGUGCAAGGACGACACGCAAAUUCGUGUAUAUUUUC